rnacentral:rRNA from 1 species
AGUGAACGCUGGCGGUAGGCCUAACACAUGCAAGUCGAACGGCAGCACAGUAAGAGCUUGCUCUUACGGGUGGCGAGUGGCGGACGGGUGAGGAAUACAUCGGAAUCUACUUUUUCGUGGGGGAUAACGUAGGGAAACUUACGCUAAUACCGCAUACGACCUACGGGUGAAAGCAGGGGAUCUUCGGACCUUGCGCGAUUGAAUGAGCCGAUGUCGGAUUAGCUAGUUGGCGGGGUAAAGGCCCACCAAGGCGACGAUCCGUAGCUGGUCUGAGAGGAUGAUCAGCCACACUGGAACUGAGACACGGUCCAGACGCCUACGGGAGGCAGCAGUGGGGAAUAUUGGACAAUGGGCGCAAGCCUGAUCCAGCCAUACCGCGGGGGUGAAGAAGGCCUUCGGGUUGUAAAGCCCUUUUGUUGGGAAAGAAAAGCAGCAGGUUAAUACCCCGCUGUUCUGACGGUACCCAAAGAAUAAGCACCGGCUAACUUCGU